rnacentral:lncRNA from 1 species
CUGUUAAGACCAGCAAAGCGCCGGACCCCCGUUGGGUCCUAUUACUGUGGCUACCAUUCACUGGUAUAUGAAUGUCGGUCAUUUCCAACACCCCCCCGUGAGCGACACUCUCUCGCUACGGGCCUUCCCGUGCCUCAUCCCGGUCUCCCAUUCUCUGGGCAACAGCCAGUGGGUAUCGAUCCGGCGACCUCUCGGCAGCGCAAUGCGCCAUUCGGGGCUCAUAACCUGUUAAGACCAGCAAAGCGCCGGACCCCCGUUGGGUCCUAUUACUGUGGCUACCAUUCACUGGUAUAUGAAUGUCGGUCAUUUCCAACACUGCCAACGCGAAGAAGGCCUGGGACGCCUUGGGAUCUAUGGGAUCUAUGUCUGCUCCCGUCGCGUCCCGGCGCGUCCGGGUUCAAAUCCGCCUGCCGACCUCUCGGGGUGUUUGAGAGGUGAUGAAAUGGGAGGUGGCCCCCCAUCUUAUGGACGGUGUAGGACGUGAUAAAAUCAACUCGCGAGCUGACCAGGAACUAAGUUGACGCGCCGUUGAUCCGCUAGAUUUGGUUGGAUGCUGGUGGUGAGUUGCCAAACUCAAAGAGUACACUCUGAAGUCGGAUGGGGUGAAUGGCUUAGGGUGCCCCUCUAGCAGGGGAGAGCAGGGAACUGCCUCGGGAAGGAGGCCACUGGUGAAGCUUAACCACCCUGUAACAACAUCAACAUCAACAACGCCCGGCGGGCGGCUGGCAGAGGUUAAGGCCUGGCUUCUGCUCCCGGCGCGUUACGGCACGUCCGGGUUCAAAUCCGCCUGCCGACCUCUCGGGGUGUUUGAGAGGUGUUGAAAUGGGAGGUGGCCCCCCAUCUUAUGGACGGUGUAGGACGUGAUAAAAUCAACUCGCGAGCUGACCAGGAACUAAGAUGACGCGCCGUUGAUCCGCUAGAUUUGGUUGGAUGCUGGUGGUGAGUUGCCAAACUCAAAGAGUACACUCUGAAGUCGGAUGGGGUGAAUGGCUUAGGGUGCCCCUCUAGCAGGGGAGAGCAGGGAACUGCCUCGGGAAGGAGGCCACUGGUGAAGCUUAACCACCCUGUAACAACAUCAACAACGCCCGCAAGGUGUCUCUACGUCAAGAAUUCAG